AUUGAACGCUGGCGGCACGCCUAACACAUGCAAGUCGAGCGGUAGCAUGAUCUGUAGCAAUACAGAUUGAUGACGAGCGGCGGACGGGUGAGGAACACGUAGGAACUUGCCCAAUAGAGGGGGAUAACUAAGGGAAACUUUAGCUAAUACCGCAUAUUCUCGAGAGAGGAAAGCUGCCCGCAAGGGUGGCGCUAUUGGAGAGGCCUGCGUCCGAUUAGCUAGUUGGUGAGGUAAGGGCUAACCAAGGCGAUGAUCGGUAACUGGUCUUAGAGGACGACCAGUCACACUGGGACUGAGACACGGCCCAGACUCCUACGGGAGGCAGCAGUGGGGAAUCUUGGACAAUGGGGGCAACCCUGAUCCAGCGAUGCCGCGUGAGUGAAGAAGGCCUUCGGGUCGUAAAGCUCUUUAGGUUGGGAGGAAGGUUAGUAUUUUAAGAGAUAACUAAUUUGACUGUACCGACAGAAUAAGCACCGGCAAACUCUGUGCCAGCAGCCGCCGUAAGAC
rnacentral:rRNA from 1 species